rnacentral:rRNA from 1 species
CCUACGGGCGGCAGCAGUGAGGAAUAUUGGGCAAUGGGCGCAAGCCUGACCCAGCAACGCCGCGUGAAGGAAGACGGCUUUAGGGUUGUAAACUUCUUUUGUCAGGGAAGAGUAGAAGACGGUACCUGACGAAUAAGCCACGGCUAGCCACGUGCCAUCAGCCGCGGUCAUACGGAGGUGGCACGCGAUGUCCGGAUUUACUGGGUGUAAAGGGCGUGUAGCCGGGUUGACAAGUCAGAUGUGAAAUCCUGCGGCGUAACCGCAGAACUGCAGUUGAAACUGUUGAUCUUGAGUACUGGAGAGGCAGACGGAAUUCCUAGUGUAGCGGUGAAAUGCGUAGAUAUUAGGAGGAACACCAGUGGCGAAGGCGGUCUGCUGGACAGCAACUGACGGUGAGGCGCGAAAGCGUGGGGAGCAAACAGGAUUAGAUACCCCGGUAGUC